rnacentral:rRNA from 1 species
GAAGCAGCCAUCCUUUAAAGAAAGCGUAAUAGCUCACUAGUCGAGUCGGCCUGCGUGGAAGAUAUAACGGGGCUAAAUCAUAAACCGAAGCUACAGAUCUUAAAUUUAUUUAAGAUGGUAGAAGAGCGUUCUGUAAGCGGAUGAAGGUGAGCUGAGAGGCGAGCUGGACGUAUCAGAAGUGCGAAUGUUGACAUGAGUAACGAUCAAAGAGGUGAAAAACCUCUUCGCCGAAAAACCAAGGGUUCCUGUCCAACGCUAAUCGUGGCAGGGUGAGGCGGCCCCUAAGGCGAGGGCGAAAGCCGUAGUCGAUGGGAAACAGGUUAAUAUUCCUGUACUUUUUAUAACUGCGAUGGGGUGACGGAGAAGGUUAGGCUAGCACGGCGACGGUUGUCCGUGUUCAAGGUUGUAGGCUGGUGUUCUAGGUAAAUCCGGAACGCCAUAUAGGCUGAGGACUGAUAACGACCACUCUACGAGUGGGAAGUAGCUGAUACCAUGCUUCCAGGAAAAACCUCUAAGCUUCAGGUUAUAAGAAACCGUACCCUAAACCGACACAGGUGGUUAGGUCGAGUAGACCAAGGUGUUUGAGAGAACUAUGGUGAAGGAACUAGGCAAAAUAGCACCGUAACUUCGGGAGAAGGUGCGCUACGUUUGGUGAUGGGACUUGCUCCUUGAGCUAAACGUAGUCGAAGAUACCAGGUGGCUGCGACUGUUUACUAAAAACAUAGCACUCUGCAAACUCGUAAGAGGAAGUAUAGGGUGUGACGCCUGCCCGGUGCCGGAAGGUUAAUUGAUGGGGUUAGCUUCGGCGAAGCUCUUGAUCGAAGCCCCGGUAAACGGCGGCCGUAACUAUAACGGUCCUAAGGUAGCGAAAUUCCUUGUCGGGUAAGUUCCGACCUGCACGAAUGGCGUAACGAUGGCCACACUGUCUCCACCAUAGACUCAGUGAAAUUGAAAUCGCUGUUAAGAUGCAGUGUACCCGCAGCUAGACGGAAAGACCCCGUGCACCUUUACUAUAGGUUCACACUGGACUUUGACUUUAUUUGUGUAGGAUAGGUGGGAGACUUUGAAACUGAGACGCUAGUCUUAGUGGAGUCGUCCUUGAAAUACCACCCUUGUAAAGUUGAGGCUCUAACUCAGGUCCAUUAUCUGGAUCGAGGACAGUGUGUGCUGGGUAGUUUGACUGGGGCGGUCUCCUCCCAAAGAGUAACGGAGGAGUACGAAGGUAUCCUAAGCAUGGUCGGACAUCAUGCAGAUAGUAUAAAGGCAUAAGGAUGCUUGACUGCGAGACUGACGGGUCGAGCAGGUAGGAAACUAGGUCUUAGUGAUCCGGUGGUUCUGAAUGGAAGGGCCAUCGCUCAACGGAUAAAAGGUACGC